ensembl:lncRNA
GGGUCAGAGCCACAGCCUUCAAGAAGGUAGGAGGGCCCUCAGGUCAGAGCCACAGCCUUCAAGAAGGUAGGAGGGCCCUCAGGUCAGAGCUAGAGCCUUCAAGAAGGUAGGAGGGCCCUCAGGUCAGAGCUAGAGCCUUCAAGAAGGUAGGAGGGCCCUCAGGUCAGAGCCACAGCCUUCAAGAAGGUAGGAGGGCCCUCAGGUCAGAGCCACAGCCUUCAAGAAGGUACGAGGGCCCUCACUAAGACCUAGAACCCCACCCAUACAGGGUUCAGGGGCCAAGGCAGAUACUAGGGAGGAAG